AUGUGGGCAAUACUUUCUUGUAAGCAUGUGAUAUAUAAUUAAUUUGCUAAAGAGGAUAAAAAAAAUAAGAAGACAUUCACUGAAUUUGUGGAUUGAACAUACUAACUGAGAGGCCUGUGUUCUGUAACUGAGCUAACCAAGAACAGUUUUAUAUAUAUAUAUAUAUGUGUGUGUAUAUAUAUAUAUAAAAAUACAUAAAGUGCCACUGGCCCGGAAAAAUAUUUACAAGAAAUCUUUCAUAAUCACUCUGAACAACAAAAAAUAGACAUUGUACAGUUGCUGGUUGACAAUCAUUUUAUACCUUUCUCAUAUGAUAACGGAGUAAAAAAUUGAUGUUUGAAUGAAUGGCAUCUUCUGGCUUCCGUAGGAAACUGCCCCCACCCUCGAAGCUUUUAAAACUGGCCUGAAAACUACAGGCGUACCUCUCCAACAGGUCUUUGUUCACGCCCACACACACUCUCAUCAGGUGAAACAAGUGGAAACACCUGCGUGGACUUUGAGGAAACGUGCUCUGACAGGAAGAAGACGAGAAAAGUUCUUUUAAAACAAAACAUGUGACUUUGUUAUCAGUGUUGGACACAAGCAGAGUAUUGCAGCGGCCGCUCUGCUCCGACGUCGUCACCAGAUUAUUAAAAACACUUCAGGAUGUCCGUGCUGGAGUUCUCAUCUGGAAACAGGCCUGACAAAAACAGAUGUUUGCUGCUCCACAAACCUCCACGUCUGUUGCUGAUCCACGUCCGACCGCGAAGCAGCAGCUUUAUCAGGAACAUGAGUCUGAGUGGAGGUUCAACUUUGACUUCGGACACAGCAUUUAACAAAAUAAACCGUAUCACAUGGUGACAA